GCUCCCUCAGCUGCUCGUUCUCAGACUUGUGCUCCAUUAUCCUUCUCUGGAGCUGCUCCAGCACCUCAACAUCUUUCCCGUAGUGAAAAGUGAACACAGGACUUGAGGCGCUUCUGCUGCCUUGAAGGACACGUGCCACCAUGAGUCCCCUGGCUUCUGCUCGCCCCAAUUCCCACCUCAGAGCUUGGCUGAAAGAGCACCCCUGGCACAAAGGAAGAAGCAGCCUUAGGGUUUCUUUUGGGAUAUGGCCCAGCAGAGGAUUUCCAAGGAGAGCAGAGUUGGUGUGCAUGGAGUGCAGGGGGGACGGGGAUUAUCCCACUGUUAUUUUUAAGCACUAGGCUAAGAGGAUCUCUGCGAUGAUAUAGGAAGCCCUGGGUUAGCAUCACGUGCUGGUGACUUUCUUGGGGUGAAAGCCAAGGGAGCACCCAUCUCCUGCUGCUCCCCAUCCAGCCCUGGCACACAGUGAGAGCUGGAGGAUUCCCUGUGGAUCUGACCCUUCCCAUUCCCCACAGCCCCUGCCCUGCAGGUGGGCACCAUCCCUGCAAGGCUGUCUGUAAUGCCUCAUCCCAUUUAACGAGUUGUCUCCAGAACUGACCACAACAAGGCUGGAGCACGCUUAUUCAGGAUAAAUCAAGCAACAGGUUGGCAGAUGGGUUCUGCUGCGGGAGACUGAUGUCAGUGGAGCAGCCCCUGAUCUGCUGCCCAGCUCCCAGAGAGCCUCUGCACCCCUGCCAUGGGCUAAAGGUAUUGUUUGCCUCAUGCUUUGGGGGGUACAGAGCUUUGCUCAGCUCCAUUUCCCCCAGCUCUGUCCUUUGCAUGCCAGCUGGGGUGGGGGGGGGGAAGUCUUGAAUUGUCCAUUUUCACAAGGUUUUGUACCAGGCACAUUGUGCAGACCUGCUGGGUGCCUCCUGCCUUGCCCCCAGGCAAAGGUUAUCAGGAGGCAGAUACAGCAUCAAAACUGUCUUUGACCAAGUGGCCAGCAUGGAUUUUCCCCAUGGGACACCUGGAGGGAAAGGAGCCGAUGGCUGGAGGGGGUAGGAGGAUGGUCUCCUGUCCUUACCCAGCCCAGACAAACAUCCCUCAGGGAUCAUCCUGCCUGGAGCAGGAAAGAAACACCAUCACCACUUCUUUUCACACAAGUUUUUCUCUGGUAUCUGCCCCUAACAGGACCACUGGGAGUCUGGAAGUGGCAGCACAGAGCUGAGUACCCCCAGCAGCUGUGCCAGCCCGCGGGACCCUCUGCAGGCAGGAAAACCUCCCCACCACAGUCCCAGGGAGCUGGGAGCGAAGCGUGUCCUCGGUGCAAAGCUGAGCACCCCCAGCACCUCCCCGGUGCCCAUCUGGCUGAGCAGCACCCGGUGCCAUCUGACUCAUCCCGGCCAGCCGGGGAGCAGAGGGCUGCAGACGUUGUCCCCAUGCCACCUGCCAGCUCCCUCCUAAAGGCCACAUCUGAUCCCGCAGCAGCGCGUGUGGCCAAGUGCCCUCUGACUUGUGCUCAGCAAUCCUCAGGUUUCCCCUUGCACAGGUAACACCGUGAGGUUUCCUGCUACACCUGAGCUUUUGAAACAAGUCCCGGCUGCUGCUGGAAAACCUCCCUGGGGAUUUCAUUGAGGGAGAGAAGGAUCCACCACCGGUGCAUCCCAUGGGAACCCUGUUGAGCCUGCGGGUCCGGGCUGGGAGAGCCACCUCGAGGGGGUUUCACUUGGGUGCAGCUGGACCUUGGACCACACUGGUGCCUCCAUGGGGGGUUUGGAGCCAGCGCUGGGGUCUCUUCCCUCGGGAAGGCAGGAUCCUGCUCCCCCGGCAGCGCUGAGAGCCGCGGUGAAGUUAGACCCAGCGAAAGGCAGCGAAGGCUCCCAAGGAUGCUGAGAAUCCUUUAAGGAUGCAGAAAAGCAGAGGCCCCAGCAGGGAUGGGUGGCUCUGCCUCAGCCCCAUCGCUGCGUGGUGCCCCUAGGUGGGGACACAACUCCAGCAUCCCACCAUCCCUCCCUGCUGGGGAGAAGGGGGGACAAAGACGCACGACAACAAGGCAAGGACUAAGGACCCCACAAUCAACUCAUCUCCAUCCUAAAACCUUCACCCCUCCCUCCACUACAUCACCCAAGGAGGAUCCUACAGGAGGUGACAUCCCGAGGUAUAUCUGAGGUUGGGCAGCUCAGAGAGGGGAUACAAAAGGUGAUGGGGGCUUUUCUGGGGGCAGAUGGGUGUCAUCCUUGCCCUCGCUGUGCCAGGGACUGCAGGCACCCUCAGGCCAGCAGCUAAGGGACAAGAAAGGAGAGGUCAGCAACAACUGGAGGAGCAGAGUCUUGGUCACCCCGACACAACCUCUCCUUGCUGAAGCUGUGGUAAUGCUGAAGGUGGAACAGCUGAGGACAUCUUGCCAAGAAGGGUUGUAGUCAUAUGGCCAUGUCCAUGGGAGAUCAAGCACACGUAGAUCUUCGAAAAGACAAAACAGACAAAAAGGAAGAAAUCCUUUAAGUCUAGACAUGAAUUAAUCCUGGCACCCUCUGCAACUCCUUCCAAAAGCAGCUCAGUCAGGGGAUGCAAAAGGUGCAGCUGCAUUGUGGGGUGUCCCCAAGGCACACAAGAAGCACCCCAGGAGCCAGCAGCAGGUUCAGCCUUCCUGCACAAUUCCCAUUGUGAAUGGAAGACACCGUGGGGACCAGACUGGUGACAGCAGGAUCCAGGUGUGGGGGCAACAAAAUAAACCCCAUCUUUAGUAGGAUAUCUGGGACAGCCAAGCCCUGGCUGAGAGUGGCAGGUCCAAGCUGAGAUGCAGAGUGAGAUCAUCUCCGAAAACCUCUCCCACGCUCUGCCACUUAGCCGGGAAGAUAUUUUUCAAAUUCCUUCCCCAGAUGAUGAGCUUUGGCAGAGACUAUGUCAUGAUUCCUGUGCCCUGCUGUACCUGUUCUCUGGCCCUGAAGAGGGGAGGAAGAGGAAAAGAUGAUAAAUCACAUUUAACAAAAGAAUCUCCAUCCCCAAAGCCCCCAGCCAAGGGUGCUGGCAAGGGACACCUGAAGCAAACCAUCCCUCCCAAAAUAGAUCCGUCUCAGAGGGCAAAAGGCAAAUUGAAUGAAAAAUAAGUUACUAUUUUUGAAGCCUGAAUCCAGUUGUUAUGGCAACCAAAGCCUCGAGCAUCAUGCUGGGGAAUGGCUCCAGCCCCAGCAAUGCCUCCAAACCUGGCAGAUGGAGAAUCACAGGCAGCCAGGGGCUGCUCCAAGGUGGGGUGUGGAGAUGUCCACGCUCACACCACCUGUACCCCACUGGGAUGGGUCCCCUCCCUGCACGGCAGCUCUCCUCAUGUACUCUGCCCACCAGCCCAGCUUGCUUUUCUUCCCUCUCCCACCCCUGGUGCUCUCCUCACCUUGCAAUGAUCUGAGUAAUUGUAAGGGCAUUAAGGAGAAAUUCCAAUAUUCUGGGCUA